rnacentral:rRNA from 1 species
GAUGAACGCUAGCGGCAGGCCUAACACAUGCAAGUCGAACGGUAACAUGAGUAGCAAUACUUGAUGACGAGUGGCGCACGGGUGCGUAACGCGUAUGCAACUUACCCCUAACUGGAGAAUAGCCUUCCGAAAGGAAGAAUAAUACUCCAUAAUAUUACGAUGUGGCAUCACAUUGUUCUUAAAGCUUCGGCGGUUAGAGAUGGGCAUGCGUCUGAUUAGCUUGUUGGUGAGGUAACGGCUCACCAAGGCAACGAUCAGUAGGGGGGCCUGAGAGGGUUAUCCCCCACACUGGUACAGAGACACGGACCAGACUCCUACGGGAGGCAGCAGUGAGGAAUAUUGGUCAAUGGACGAAGUCUGAACCAGCCAUGCCGCGUGCAGGAUGAAUGCCCUAUGGGUUGUAAACUGCUUUUAUAUAGGAAUAAACCCCUUUACGUGUAAAGGGCUGAAGGUACUAUAAGAAUAAGGACCGGCUAACUCCGUGCCAGCA